rnacentral:rRNA from 1 species
CGCGCAGGCGGUCUUGUCCGUCAGGUGUGAAAGCUCGGGGCUCAACCCCGGCAGUGCACUUGAAACAGCAAGACUUGAAUACGGGAGAGGAGAGAGGAAUUCCUGGUGUAGAGGUGAAAUUCGUAGAUAUCAGGAGGAACACCGAUGGCGAAGGCAUCUCUCUGGACCGAUAUUGACGCUGAGGCGCGAAGGCGUGGGUAGCGAACAGGAUUAGAUACCCUGGUAGUC